rnacentral:lncRNA from 1 species
AAAUAUAUUAUUAAAUCAAUCCAUAGUCACUAGAAUGGGAUGGAAUACAAACUAACAAACAGUUGGCGUGCGUGAAAUGUGUACAGCGUAUCAGCCUAGCAGGAUAAACAUAGAUUCAAAAUACAGAAGCAGAAACAGAUUUAGUACAAAACUAAUCCAAUUACACAUCAAAAAUCUCAACCAAAACUCUAUUCAUACACAUCAAAAACAAAAAUUCAAUUUUCAAUAAUAUACAACAGCAAACUUAUGAAUGAGGGAAAUACCCUUUUUCCGUGGCGUGGUGGUGGGUUGAUUAUCGUCAGCUGUCGCUUGUUGUUAGUGAUCGAGUAUGUUUAAGGUUAAGGUUAUGGGUUGAUGGGAAGAAGUAUGAUGGCAGAUAUUAUCCCCAAUUUUAUCUGAUUUCUCUCUCUCCUUAUUGAAAUUUUGUUUCAAUAUAUAGACUAUUUUAUAGAAAUGAAAAGGUUUUUAAAAAUAUACUAAUACUAGUCAUGUUAUUAUAUUGACAAAAUUAGAUUACAG